GUGGCUAUAGUAUAGUGGUCAGUACGUAUCGUUGUGGCUUGCUUGUCAAUCACAACAAUUCCGAUGAGACGCCGGUUCGAUUCCGGCUAGCCACA